rnacentral:rRNA from 1 species
UACAGGGGGGGCAAGCGUUGUUCGGAAUUACUGGGCGUAAAGGGCUCGUAGGCGGCCAACUAAGUCACACGUGAAAUCCCCAGGCUUAACCUGGGAACUGCGUGUGAUACUGGAUGGCUUGAAUUCGGGAGAGGGAUGCAGAAUUCCAGGUGUAGCGGUGAAAUGCGUAGAUAUCUGGAGGAACACCGGUGGCGAAGGCGACAUCCUGGACCGGUAUUGACGCUGAGGCGCGAAAGCCAGGGGAGCAAACGGG